rnacentral:rRNA from 1 species
GUAGGGAAUCUUGCGCAAUGGGCGAAAGCCUGACGCAGCCAUGCCGCGUGAAUGAUGAAGGUCUUAGGAUUGUAAAAUUCUUUCACCGGGGACGAUAAUGACGGUACCCGGAGAAGAAGCCCCGGCUAACUUCGUGCCAGCAGCCGCGGUAAUACGAAGGGGGCUAGCGUUGCUCGGACUUACUGGGCGUAAAGGGAGCGUAGGCGGAUAGUUUAGUCAGAGGUGAAAGCCCAGGGCUCAACCUUGGAAUUGCCUUUGAUACUGGCUAUCUUGAGUAUGGAAGAGGUAUGUGGAACUCCGAGUGUAGAGGUGAAAUUCGUAGAUAUUCGGAAGAACACCAGUGGCGAAGGCGACAUACUGGUCCAUUACUGACGCUGAGGCUCGAAAGCGUGGGGAGCAAACAGGAUUAGAUACCCUAGUAGUCC